UUCAAUUUCCUUCUUUUCACUUCCUCCUUCCUCUUUAAACCUUUCUUUAUCAUCUUCUUCAACCCCAAGAAACUUCGAAUCUUCUCGUUUUGUUCGUAAAGUAACCCUUUCUGAUUUUGACCAAAUUGAGGAAGUUGAGGCUGGUGAUGAUGAUGAGGAGGAGGGGGGUUUGAGUGAUGAAGGUGCUUCAUAUGAAGAACGUAAUGCCAAUCCUGACCUUAAAAUCUUUGUUGGUAAUUUGCCUUUCAGUGUUGACAGUGCGGCUCUUGCUGAGCUUUUUGAGCGUGCUGGAGAUGUUGAAAUGGUUG
rnacentral:lncRNA from 1 species